AAGGGCACCACAAGAACGCGUGGAGCAUGUGGCUUAAUUUGACCCAACGCGGGAAAUCUUACCGGGUCCGGACACACUGAGGAUUGACAGGCAAUAUUAGCACAUUGUGCACGCUUCGGCGUUGCCAUUGUGUUAUGUUAAAUAUGCUAGUCCUUUCAUGAUUAUGUGAUAGGUGGUGCAUGGCCGUUCUUAGUUCGUGGAGUGAUCUGUCUGCUUAAUUGCGUUUCACCAAGGGCCUAUAAUUUUACGUGUGUUGCGGCACUUUGACCCCUCUUUUUUUAAAGAGCGCGUGUCUUGGUUUGCUUAGCUCGCACAAUUAGGUCCUGAAAGCAACGAACGUGACC
rnacentral:rRNA from 1 species